rnacentral:rRNA from 1 species
UACGGAGGAUGCAAGCGUUAUCCGGAAUGAUUGGGCGUAAAGCGUCCGCAGGUGGCUGUGUAAGUCUGCUGUUAAAGAGUGAGGCUCAACCUCAUAAAAGCAGUGGAAACUACACGGCUAGAGUGCGUUCGGGGCAGAGGGAAUUCCUGGUGUAGCGGUGAAAUGCGUAGAUAUCAAGCGGAACACCAGUGGCGAAGGCGAGUCCCUGGACAACUCCUGACACUGAUGCACGAAAGCUAGGGGAGCAAACAGG